UACCUGAAUCAACACCAAAAACUGCAACAGGUACUACACCAGGCACAACACCAGGAACAACACCGGUUACAAUACCUGAAACAACACCAGAAACUACAACAGGUACUACACCAGGCACAACACCAGUAACAACACCGGUUACAAUACCUGAAUCAACACCAGAAACUGCAACAGGUACUACACCAGGCACAACACCAGGUAACAUCAAGUUUUGUUUACGGUUCAUA
rnacentral:lncRNA from 1 species